AAGACUAUAGACCUGCGGAGUACCUGCGGAAGGAUCAUUACCGAGUUUACAACUCCCAAACCCAAUGUGAACGUUACCAAACUGUUGCCUCGGCGGGAUCUCUGCCCCGGGUGCGUCGCAGCCCCGGACCAAGGCGCCCGCCGGAGGACCAACCAAAACUCUUUUGUAUACCCCCUCGCGGGUUUUUAUAUCUGAGCCAUCUCGGCGCCUCUCGUAGGCGUUUCGAAAAUGAAUCAAAAC
rnacentral:misc_RNA from 1 species